rnacentral:rRNA from 1 species
UUGGAGUCGUACACCUUGCGGCCGCUCUCGGUCAUGAUGUUGCCCUCGGCAUCGCGCAUCCCAAACUGGGAUUAGAUACCCCACUAUGCCUAGCCCUAAACCCAAAUAGUUACAUAACAAAACUAUUCGCCAGAGUACUACUCGCAACUGCCUAAAACUCAAAGGACUUGGCGGUGCUUCACAUCCACCUAGAGGAGCCUGUUCUAUAAUCGAUAAACCCCGAUAGACCUACCA